rnacentral:lncRNA from 1 species
AAAAGUGUGUUUUUAUCCUUGUCUCUUAACCCUAAGACGGAUUAAGUUGGCAGCUGGAAGCAUCUGCUUCUCCGCGGUUUGGUUGCUCCCCCUGGUUGGGUGUCUGUACUCUGUAUAUACCAAGUCUUGACGUCAACGAUGACAUCAUCAAUCCCCUGAUUUUUGAUUUUUUCGUCGUUGUUUUGCUUGCAUAUGCUGUCAAGAAGCGCUUCAUCCCCCGUGAGUUUCUUGAACUUCAUUCAUUCCCCUUUCCCGUCUAGUCCUCCGGACAAGCUUUAACUAAUUCUAAGGUUUUGGGUCGUACGCCAAAGCAAAAAGAAAGCAAAAAGCUUCAGCUUUGAGGCGGUAGUCAUUUUGGCAUCCAAUAGAUGAAUCGUUGUUGGCGGGUUUUCUCUUUCUUUGCCCCCUUUUUUUUUUUUUAUAAGAAACGAUGAAUGUAGAUUGAUAAUAUGGAUCCAAGCACUCAUCUUUCUUUAAUUUUGAGUCACUUCUGUCGAUUGUUCAUUGUUAUAUGCUGGGUCCCGAAUUGUGGUUUAGUUGGUAUGAACAGAAACUUGGAGCUUUUAUGUGAAUUUACAGGAGGCAAUAGUUUAUAAUAUAUGUGCAUACAUUGGAUACUGGUAGUUCGUACAUUAGCAAAAGCUGUUUACUAUAGUGUACAAGUUUCAUCAAGAACUGUAGACAAAAGCAGCAAAAGCUGGUAUGUACAUUAGCAAAAGGUGAUCAUUGACAAAAAUAGGUGACUUUAUGACACUAAACUGAUCUCAAAAGCUGAUGCAAAACAUAGGAAUGGUGCAUGAUUUUAGUCGAUUAUUUGGUGCUUUGGCUGGUCAGUGAUUGUUGCUGGUGGAUCUCUUUUCUUAGUUGCUGUAGCUUGUGCGAUGGUUGGAUUGGUUGUGUCUUUGCUUGAAUCUUCAGUUGCAAUUUGUUGAUCAGGUAGGUUUGAUGAUGAGGCUUCAUUGGUUGCUGGUGCAGGGGUCUGUGUAGGAUCUUCAAUUGGUAGACAAGCGAGGAUGUUGUACUUUGCUACAAUUGUGUUUUGUAGAGGAUGAGUGAAUUUCCUGACUUGAAAACGAAAUGUGCUCAUAUGGAGCUUUAUAUUGAUGUCUGCAAUAUCUGGAAUUUGGUUCUGUGGACAUUGGUUUCUGAAUGAGUAUGUCUUUGGUUUGGUAUAUGAAUAGUGUGAAUAAAUUUGUAUUCUAUAAAAAGUAAUGUUGUUAAUGUUCAAAAUUACCUUUAGUGUCAUGUAGAGUAUGUCUUCAGCAGAGAUGUUGAGAAUGUGUUGAGCAUGCUGGUCUUCAAUUUGUGCAGUAAUUGUUCCAGUAGUAUCAGACAGUUGCACUAAGAACUUGAGCCUGCAUUAAGUAUUAUGGUUUUGUUAUGUUAUGAUAAGAAGAAUGUUAUGAAUUUUAGUGUGUAAAUAUGUUUAUGGAUUUACCUUGGCAGUGGUUUUGCAAAUGUCAUGUUGCAAUGACGGCAUAAGAAGUUGAAAUUUGCUUGAGCUCCAGUUUGUUUCUUGCAAUUAGAAGCUGGACAGGUAAGGAUGUAGAGUCGAUGUUGAGGCUGAACUAUCUUUGCUUUGGCUUUGAUCCAGAAUGGCUUUGCCUGUAAGAUUUCAUGUGGUUAAAUAUUAGAUUUUGUUGUGAUAGUAUUUGUUAUCGAAUAUAUUGUAUUUUGUACUGAUAAAUGUAGUAGUUGUACCAGAUAAGGAGUAUUUAGUGCAUAGCUGAUGUCGUGCAUAUGUUCUUCAGGAGGAGGUUGGACUGUUUGAUGAGUUGCAUCAUAAAGUUUUUUUGCUAAAACUUGCUCAAUAUAAGGUCUGCUUGCUUUGGUCCUGUUAUAUUGUAUAGGAUGGUGUCAGAUUUUGGUUAUAAUGUGCCUAACGAAUAAGUAAAUAUUGACUUUAUCAACUUACCAACUUUUGAGUUCUAGUGCUUGAGGGAUUUGUGGAUCAAACAAGAUAGCACUCAUUGUUUGUGUCUCGACAGAUAAAACUGUUAUAUGAUUAUUUGAAAAAUUAGUACUAUAUUCUGUAAAGCAGAUAAUAUACUUGACUUUUGUAAGUUUAUAUGAAUUAGGGACAGAUUGACAUACCAUGUACUGAAGUCACUUUGGCUCUUGUUAUAAUCAAUGUCGGGGAUUGAUUUAAGAUCCUCAGAAGGUAUUGUGCUUCAAUGUCAAUGAAUUUUGGCCACAUUGUAAGUAUCAUUGGCUUUUGUCUGCAUCAGUUAUCAAUAGUUAAUAUGAGUUUUGUGUUGUAUUGCACUUUAUUAAUUUGCAUUGUUUUUAUACUUACUCUUGAUUUAGGAUGAUGAAUUCUUGAAUUGGAUAAUCGCCUCUUUGUCGUGCAAUGAAGCGACGGGGAAGAGCUCCAAUGACAGUGCAUAGCAGAGCUGAGACAAGAGCAUUAGGUAUUAGUAUUGAUAUGUAAGAAUCAUUGUAGUAACAAUGUAAUGAAAAUUAUUAAAGUGAAGUAGUACUUAUCGGAUUUGUAUUUGUAUCCAUGUACUUAUAGAAGUCUCUGAAUGGUGUAAAAUUGUAGCACUGAUCGAUAGGAUACUGGUUUUCUUGAUCUGCUUCUUUGAUGAAUGUACCUCUGGUCAAGGUUAGUUGAAAUGGUGAAGUGCAGUAUCUGAAAUUUU